GGGGUGGUGUUGCCCAACGGAAAGACGUUCCAGUUCGGAUCCGGAGCGAGAGAGAGAGCAACCCUAACGUGACGUAUCUCUCUCUUUCCUCUACUCUCGGCGCUCAAGUUUCCUUCUCUCUCUCUCUCUCUCUCCCCUUCCUCUCGCUCUCACAGGCACGCACGCAGCGCCCGUUCCCCCCGCCGCCGCCGCCGCCGCGCCUCCCCUCCCCUCGCUCGCCCCGCAGCAACCCAGCCCCAGCUCUCUCUCGGUACCUCAUCUCCUCCUCUCGCGAGCAAAUUCUUGAUUCCUUAUGAAUGACGGUGUUUGAUUACAUGCGAUUCUGGAAGACCAUCUGUUUCGAGCGAACUGUGAGGAAUCUGCAGAUGCUCUGAUAAGAAUGCUUUAUAUGGUGAUUCUCAAGGGAAGAAAAAGGGGGAAUUUUUGUGCGUAGUUGCUGGGUCAAAAUACCAGCUUUUGUGUUUUGGAUUGGGAUUGUUUGAUGGGAAGGAGUUUCCCAUCGAGAUUGGCUGAUGUGUGUUGUGAAUCCGAGUGACACGAAUACUCCUCUGGGAGAUUAUACUGUUUGGAGCGAGCGAUUAGCUAGGACCGAGAAAUUUGAGGGUUCUGUAGAUGCUUUCAUAGGAAUGCUUUAUAUUGUAAUCCCCAAAGGAAGAAAAAAAAUAAGAAAAUUUCGCCAUGACUGUACUAGUUUUGUGUGUAGUUACCAGGUCAAAAUACUAGCUUUUCGUGUUUUGGAUUGGGAUUAUCUGAUGGGGAAGAAGAGUUUCCAAUCGAGAUUGGCUGAUGUGUGUUGUGAAUCCGAGUGACACGAAUACUCCUCCGGGAGAUUAUACUUUUUGGAGCGAGCGAUUAGCUAGGACUGAGAAAUUGAGGAUUCUGUAG
rnacentral:lncRNA from 1 species